ensembl:lncRNA
AACCUUUGUCAACUCUGUAUGCGUUUUCUGACUGCCUGUGUAGUCAUCUGACAACUUGAGAAGCAGGAACAAAGCACUGGCAAGGCUGACAAAUCCUGCAGAUGCAGCAAGGAAGCAAAGAAAGCACAAAAGAAGUCUAUAAUGAUCGAAAGCCAAAGGGAAAAGGAAAGGAUCGUGGCCAAAUAGUGUCAAAUACCUGCUCCUCCCAAUAAUUUUAGUAGAGGCUCUCUUGCAAGAUCUGUCAUCAAGCAUAGAAGAUAUUGCUACACCACAAAUCCUGAUGUAUUUUCUACCUGCUUUGAAAGACACGGAGAUAUUAAACUGGAUGGACAAACCUGAAUGGCACAAAUACCAGAGGAACAGAUGGCAUGGAAGAUAAGUCCUCCCUGCCUGAACUGGGAAAGGAAAAAGAUACCCGUCUUGAGGAUCAACUCCAAGCAUGAAUUUGGAGUGACAUUCGCCAUUCAAGCAAUGGUUCCAGUGCUCUUCCUCCUUUUAAGGAUGCACUGCUCUCCUUUACUUGUAUACUAAGGCCUGACUCCCUCUCUCUUACUUUGAUAUUACCGCUGGUGACAGAACACAAGCAGUGCUGAAAUAGAGCUUGAUCUUCUAAGAUUUCUGCUCUCUGAGAUAAUCACAGACAAUUCUUGACUUUCAUCUGUGUGCUUAUCAUUUAGAAAUGAGCCAUCGGACCAUGGUAAUCAAAAUAUAGCCUUAUGGAAUUCUGCGUUACUGAGCAAUAUUUGUGUUACCUUAUUGCAAUGGUACGUGUCGGACCAGAUACCUCCACGAGCUUCUCUCUUCUUCAUUAACUGGCAAGAUCUGCUGAUCUCGUGCAACAGGACUCUCCUGCCACCACAUCACCCAGUUCCAGAAGAGGGAUAGGCUGGUCACUAAACAUCCCAUCUUUUGCUACCUUCAGAUGCCCCUUGAGCUCAAGGCAUUGCUGUGGAGGCUCCUUCUAAUAGCAACCACUUAGAAAAUGGAAAUCCGACAAGGAAACUUACCUGUUUUCUCAUAUCCUCUGGCCACAAACAGAAGGAAAAAUAAUCUUAAAGUACUAUCUUCUGAGCACAAUUCAAAUUAAAAAAAAAAUAACUAAGAAAAAAAGAGAUCUCUGCACGUGUCACUGGAAAUAUGAUGUUAUUAGAGAAGCUGACAACCUAUCCACACCAGUGCUCUCCAAUACUGUCCGAGAAGAACAGAGAGGAACAGAAAUAGCAGAGGUCCACAGAAGGGUAAUAAAAAUAACAAAGACAUUUAGCGGCCUUCCACAUGACUGCACUUGUUUCAUUUGGGAAAUCUGAAUUUAAACAGUGAGAUAGUAAAAUUGAUCCUUCCUAGCCUUCAUAUAAAAGCAACAGUGCAACUGAUGAAUUGAGAAGUAAAGCCACUUGCAGCUGAUAACACUUCUUCACGGAGUACACAAUUCACUCCUGAUAUUCUAUGACACCAGUUGAGAAGAAUGAAACAGAGAAAUUUUAAAUACCAGCAUAUUUCCUCACUGUGCUAUUCCAAAUGAAAACUAUUACAAAUGAUAAUCAGAAAGCAAGCAACAAGGCAUCUGGGCUAAGAAAAGUGUCAUCCAAAGACAGAAAAGUGGCAAAAUUACAAAAAGGAAGAAACAGUAAGACCCCGGCUUCUAUGAGAUUCUCAAGUUUCCAUUAUAAACCUAGGAGUAGCAAAUAGAAUCAGCAGACUCUUUACAGAUAAGAGAGCUGGAGGCAACCUGGUACUGCCAUGAGUACAAUACCACCACAGUCAGUGAAGCUCUCCACUCCAACUGAUGCACUGUUUGCUAAAACACAAAGACAUCCACCUCAGUGAAGAGGGGGCAAGCCCUCUGGAAAGGCUUUCUGAUAGCAGAUACUCUGGUGUUCAAAGCUGAACCUCUUACCUUCUGGCACAACCGGCUCUUGACAGCAGAUUUCCUAACAGAUGCCAAGCUAUUCCUAUCAGUUUAACCCCAACAGGACAUUCCUGUUACCCAUAUUAAUCUUAGUAGAUGAGAUGCUGAAGGUUCAGUAGAAAAUACCAAUUAAGCAUUGGUGAUGGGUGGAUGGUUGGACCAGGUGAUCCUGUGGAUCUUUUCCGACCUUGGUGAUUCUAUGAUUCCAUGAUUCUGUGAUCUUUUCUUUGAAGGACUAAUCUGCUGAAACUAAAGCUUCCUGCAAGAAUUGGGCUAUUUAUAGGUAUAUAAGUCUUGCUCAAAUAAAUAAAUAAAUAAAUA